rnacentral:tRNA from 1 species
AAUUAUUUAGUUUAACAUAUAACAUAUGAUUUGAAUUCAUAAGAUAGAGGUAAAUUCUUUUAAUAAUUU